rnacentral:rRNA from 1 species
UACGUAGGGGGCAAGCGUUGUCCGGAAUCAUUGGGCGUAAAGCGCGUGUAGGCGGUUCGGUAAGUCGGCUGUGAAAGUCCAGGGCUCAACCCCUGGGAUGCCGGUCGAUACUGCCGGACUAGAGUUCGGAAGAGGCGAGUGGAAUUCCCGGUGUAGCGGUGAAAUGCGCAGAUAUCGGGAGGAACACCAAUGGCGAAGGCAGCUCGCUGGGACGUUACUGACGCUGAGACGGCGAAAGCGUGGGAGCAAACAGG